GACCGCGUAGCUCAGUUGGCAGAGCUUUGGGCUAGUUUUCCAAAGGUCGUAGGUUCGAUUCCCACCGCGGCCA
rnacentral:tRNA from 1 species